rnacentral:rRNA from 1 species
GAUGAACGCUGGCGGCGUGCCUAAUACAUGCAAGUCGAGCGAACGGACGAGAAGCUUGCUUCUCUGAUGUUAGCGGCGGACGGGUGAGUAACACGUGGAUAACCUACCUAUAAGACUGGGAUAACUUCGGGAAACCGGAGCUAAUACCGGAUAAUAUUUUGAACCGCAUGGUUCAAAAGUGAAAGACGGUCUUGCUGUCACUUAUAGAUGGAUCCGCGCUGCAUUAGCUAGUUGGUAAGGUAACGGCUUACCAAGGCAACGAUGCAUAGCCGACCUGAGAGGGGGAUCGGCCACACUGGAACUGAGACACGGUCCAGACUCCUACGGGAGGCAGCAGUAGGGAAUCUUCCGCAAUGGGCGAAAGCCUGACGGAGCAACGCCGCGUGAGUGAUGAAGGGCUUCGGAUCGUAAAACUCUGUUAUUAGGGAAGAACAUAUGUGUAAGUAACUGUGCACAUCUUGACGGUACCUAAUCAGAAAGCCACGGCUAACUACGU